rnacentral:rRNA from 1 species
CUACAAUGGCCGGUACAGAGAGAAGCAAGACUGUGAAGAGGAGCCAAACUCAAAAACCGGUCCCAGUUCGGAUUGUAGGCUGCAACUCGCCUACAUGAAGUCGGAGUUGCUAGUAAUCGCGGAUCAGAAUGCCGCGGUGAAUGCGUUCCCGGGUCUUGUACACACCGCCCGUCACACCAUGGAAGUUGGGGGCGCCCGAAGUUGGUCGGGAAAUAGAUUACCUAAGGCGAAACCAAUGACUGGGGUGAAGUCGUAACAAGGUAAC